rnacentral:lncRNA from 1 species
AGGACCCCCAGAGGCCCAUGGACUGGAGCUGUUAAUGUCCUGCAGAUAAGAGCCACUCUCUCGCUGUGAUCACCAAGGUACCCAGGGCCUCCGGAGGCCACAAAGAAUGGAUAAUUGCAACCCACAGGCCUCCUUCAGAUUUCCUCCAAGCCCUUCUGGUCAGCAAAUACUCUAUGCUCCUUGGCUGAGAGAAAACCCUGAAGCAGUUAAGAUACCAGGAAAGGAAGACUUGAAAAUUGGUUAGUGAAGAUUCUGAGUAUUUCCUGGUGCGUCUCGGAAUUUUGUUUGUUUUUUUUUUAUGGUGAUAUUUCUUUCUCUCUGUAUGUCUCUGUCUCUCUGUCUCUAUCUGCAUCUCUGCCUCUUGUUAGAAGGGACUAGUUAGAAUGGCACAAAGAAGUUAGAAUUGGAGAUCAUCGUUGCAAAGGCCCUUAAGAAGAGGGGGGCAGUUGUGGUCUAUUCUGAGGGCUACCAAGGUGGUUUCCAGCUUGCUCUUGGCACGAAGAGGAAUAAACAGGGCCAUUUUAAUGCCAUGGGCAGGGAAAGCAUGAUGCAAAGCCUUUGGAGGGGCCACCAGGUAAUGACAGGAGAACACCAGAACCCAGGGAGAUAGCAGAGGUUGAGGAAGCCUGGCACCCCAGCGACAAAGUAGUGUCCCUAACAAAAGAAAGAAAGACUCAAUCUUGGAAACAGAAACAUGAAGUGAAUUUUUAAUACCAUCGUCCAAGAAGAUGGCAUUUUCUGUGACUGGAACAAUGCAGAAUUAAUGUGUAUCUGCAAGAAAUAUCAUUAAGAUUAAGUAUUCUUCAGAGAGAUUGGAGAAUCGGGGAAUUCAAGUGCAUUUGUUGGCUUGAGCCAGCCCUCCGCUACCUGACCCAUCUGCAGGCAGAAAGGACAUCCUCCAAGGUAAAGACAUCUGCUGGCAGACAAAAGUAAAGAUGUGAAUUUUCUUUCAAUUUCCUGAGAGAGCACAAUACUUUCAGUUCUCUCUUUUAAUGCGACUCUGGAUUGCUUUUUCCCUGACAGUUGCUGUAGAGAUAGCAUAGGCUUGCUGCUUGGCACAGAAGUACUCUUUAUUUCAUUGUAAUUAGCAAGGGUAA